rfam:Eucalyptus grandis cultivar BRASTZ1 unplaced genomic scaffold scaffold_5, whole genome shotgun sequence.
AAUUGGCUUAGUUAGGAGGCAAACAUGAACCUGGAGGACCAGAGGAUCUCUGGUCUUCCUUUGGCUAAGGCCUCUUGAGGGGACUCUCUUGCUGCUAAACCCAGAUCGAUUGUCCUCCAAGCAGCCUCGGACAUUC